CUGAAUUUGCUAAUGACUUUCAAGCCAAUUAAACACAUCUCUAUAUGUCUCAAAGCAUUUAAUGAAAAAGUCCAUCUAAUUCUGUUGCAUUCUGUAUUUCAUUUCGUAAUUUUGACACAAUAAUCUGUUUUAUGUCCUGGUCUGUUCUGGUCCAUUUCAUUUGAUUUCAUUCUGUUUGCAUUCCUAUAGUGUAUUCCACACCAUUUCAUAUUCCAUCGCAUUCCAUUCUACACAAUUCCACAUCUCCCCGGCCACAUCAGCCUGAGAGUAAUAAACAGACCUUGCCAUCGUAUCCCCUUUUGGAGACACAAGCCAGGAAGGAAGCUCUUCAGUGCAGCUGUGAAUAGAGAAAUGCUGGCUGAGGUUUUGGAGACACUGGGUGAUCAUUCCCAGUGAAAUUUUUAGAUCCCUGGGGACAUGAGCUGCUUUGUCUUUUCCAAGGUCAGGAUAAACAGAAUAACUUCAGGCUUCUCUACCCAGAAAGAACAUGUGGCAUAAAUAUCAACUGCAGAAUAAAUAUGAUUAAUCUGGUACAUGGACGAAGAUGUUUUCUAGGAGAUGCUUAUCCUGGGAUGAGAGCUUUCAUAAGCAUUGAUAUUUACAUGACUCUUACCGUGUGUCAGGAACUGUUCUAAUUGUUUUACCUAUGUCAAUUCAUUUGAUAGUCACAACCACUGAAAGGAGAAAGCCAAUUUUGGAGACCCUAUGUGGAUGAUGAUGCUUGCUGUACUUUCUGUGGGUAAUCGGGCCAAGUAUAUGGGACUGAAGCUAAUUUUGCAGGUGAGAAAAUGGAGGUCCAGAGAGAAAAGUGACUCACCCAAGCUGAAAACAGUUGCAGGAAGAAAAGCCAGGACAGAACUGGGCUGUUAGAAACCUUGGAGUACACUAAAGAUGAGGAACUGAGUCACCGCAAUGCCAAAUGUAACACGCUGUGGGUCAAAAUUUGGAUGGUUGCGUUGGAAAUUAUUCUGAAGCCACAGACAGGGCUAAAAGGUAAGUAUGAAUAAUUAGUAAUGCUUGCCAUAGACAGAUUAAAGUGUUGACAUCACAUAGGACAAGAAUUUGCCACCAAUAGAUGAGAGGAUUGUUGAUGUCCUUGAAUUGGAAAUGAACGAGCUAAUUGGUUAGUUACUUAUUCACUCUAACCCAGAAAGCAGCAGCUUGUGAAAAAAGUUUUUGCUGGUAACACACAGGAAAUAGAAAAUUUAGUAUUUUUUCCAGUGGAAAAGCCCUCUUGUAUCACCAAGCAGAAGAGAACAUGAUGUCUUUUCUUUUGAUGUAAUUUAGGAUGAUUCACAAAGUGUUCAUAGCAGGGAAGCUGAUGGAAAAGUGACAUGCCCCUAGACUUGAGAGAUGCUCUCUAAGUUUAAAAAGGAAACAGCUUAUUGUAAAAUUUAUUUGAAUCCUACAACCUUCCCAUAUCUGUGUAAUUAGCAAAAAGACAAGCUGCAACCAGAGAGGUAAAGUAUCAAUUUAUCUCAUACUUAUUUAUUGAGAACAUCCUCUGAGCUGUGUACUAUGUUAGGCAGAGAAAACAAACAAUAAGCAAGACACAGUCCCUGACUCCAUAUGAUUAUCAGGGAGGCUAGGAAAAGUCAUCUCUGCUUGGACAACUCCUUUCCAGAAAUACCUCUCUUCUCUUAAAGGGACAUGCACAUGUACAUAUUAUAAUAAAUGAAUCGAGGAAAUAUAUAAUAUUUAUAUAUAAUAUAUAAAUAUA
rnacentral:lncRNA from 1 species